rnacentral:rRNA from 1 species
UACGAAGGGGGCUAGCGUUGCUCGGAAUCACUGGGCGUAAAGCGCACGUAGGCGGCUUUUUAAGUCAGGGGUGAAAUCCUGGAGCUCAACUCCAGAACUGCCUUUGAUACUGAGGAUCUUGAGUUCGGGAGAGGUGAGUGGAACUGCGAGUGUAGAGGUGAAAUUCGUAGAUAUUCGUAAGAACACCAGUGGCGAAGGCGGCUCACUGGCCCGAUACUGACGCUGAGGCACGAAAGCGUGGGGAGCAAACAGG